AUAAUAUAAAUUAUCGCGGUAGCAGAGCGUUCUGUAGGCCUAUGAAGAUUUUCCGUGAGGAAAGUUGGAGGUAUCAGAAGUGAGAAUGCUGGCAUGAGUAACGUAAAAUCCUGUGAAAUUCAGGAUCGCCGGAAAUCCAAGGGUUUCUGCGCACUGUCUGUCAGCGCAGAGUUAAACGGACCCUAAGAAAAUCUACUAAUAUAUUCGAUGGGAAAUAGGUAACUUUCUUCAAAUAAUCCUAAUUCAUCUCUAUGUACGAAAAAAUACCUGCAAUAGGACUAAUUGGUUUAUCCGAGUAGUAAAAUUGGAAGUUAUUUUAUUACAUUUGCAUCAUUUUUUCCUGGAAAAUCGUAGAGAUAUUAAAGACCGUACCCUAAACCGACACUGGUGGAUUAGUAUAUUUUACUAAGGCGAAUGAGAUAACCACAUUGAAGGAACUCGGCAAAAUUCCUUCGUAACUUCGGGAAAAGAAGGACCAAAAUGUUUUUUGGUGACACAAAAUAGGGGAUAGCGACUGUUUAUUAAAAACACAGGUCUCUGCUAAAUCGGAAGAUGAUGUAUAGGGACUGACUCCUGCCCGGUGCCGAAAACUUAAGAGGACGGGUUAGCUUAAGUGCACGCUCAGAAUCUAUGGCUCGGUAAACGGCGGCCGUAACUCUAACGGUCCUAUGGUAGCGAAAUUCCUUGUCUACUAAUUAUAGACCUGCAUGAAUGGAGUAACGACUGUCCCUCUGUCUCCAAUGUGGACUCAGUGAAAUUGAAUUCUCCGUGAAGAUGCGGAGUACCAACGGUUAGACGGUAAGACCCUAUGCACCUUUACUAUAAGCUUACAUUGACGAAGAAGAUUUACUGUGUAGGAUAGGUGGGAGAUUAAUAUAUAGCUUCGGUUAUAUCUUAGUCAAUCUUGAAAUACCACCCUUUACUUCUUUUGACUCUAACCCGUACAGGGGACAGUGUAUGCUGGGUAGUUUGACUGGGAUGGUCGCCUGCUAAAGAGUAACGGAGGCGCACAAAGGUAAACUCAAGCGGUUUAGAACUCCGCUGUAGAGCGUAAUAGUAUAAGUUUGCCUGACUGUGAGACUGACAGGUCGAACAGGUACGCAAGUAGGUUAUAGUGAUCCGGAGGCAUUCGCGUGGAAGAGCCUUCGCUUAACGGAUCAAAGGUACGCUAGGGAUAACAGGCUAAUGGUUCCCAAGAGCUCAUAUCGACGGGACCGUUUGGCACCUCGAUGUCGUCUCAUCGCAUCCUGGAGGUGAAGAAGCUUCCAAUGGUUCGGCUGUUCGCCGAUUAAAGCGAUACGUGAGAUGGGUUUAGAACGUCGUGAGACAGUUCGGUUCCUAUCUUCCGUUGGUGUUAAAAAUUGAGAGAGUGGACUCCUAGUACGAGAGGACCGGAGUCUAUCAACCUAUGGUCGACCAGUUGUUGUACCAACAGCACAGCUGGAUAGCUACGUUGAAUUAGAGAACUACUGAAAGCAUCUAAGUAGGAAGCUUUUCUCAAAACAAGUUUUUUAUAAGCUCGUAGAAGAUGACUACGUAGAUAGGCAAAAUGUGAAACCAGGGUAACCUGAAUAGCUCAUUUGUACUAAUUGCUUAUUACUCUUUAUACU
rnacentral:rRNA from 1 species